GGGAAUAUAGCUCAGUUAAUAAGAGUGUUUGCCUUGUAAGCACAAAGCCCUGGGUUUAAUUCCCAGCACCA
rnacentral:tRNA from 1 species